rnacentral:tRNA from 1 species
GCCUAGUUAGCUUAGUUGGUAAUGCGUCUGCCUCGUAAGCGCUAGGCCGCGGGUUCGAUUCCCGCCCGGGGCG